rnacentral:rRNA from 1 species
AUUGAACGCUGGCGGCAUGCCUUACACAUGCAAGUCGAACGGCAGCGGGGGAGAAGCUUGCUUUUCCUGCCGGCGAGUGGCGAACGGGUGAGUAAUACAUCGGAACGUGCCCUGUAGUGGGGGAUAACUAGUCGAAAGAUUAGCUAAUACCGCAUACGACCUGAGGGUGAAAGUGGGGGACCGCAAGGCCUCAUGCUAUAGGAGCGGCCGAUGUCUGAUGAGCUAGUUGGCGGGGUAAAGGCCUACCAAGGCGACGACCAGUAGCUGGUCUGAGAGGACGAUCAGCCACACUGGGACUGAGACACGGCCCAGACUCCUACGGGAGGCAGCAGGGGGGAAUUUUGGAAAAUGGGCGAAAGCCUGAUCCAGCAAUGCCGCGUGUGUGAAGAAGGCCUUCGGGUUGUAGAGCACUUUUGUCCGGAAAGAAAUGGCUCUGGUUAAUACCUGGGGUCGAUGACGGUACCGGAAGAAUAAGGACCGGCUAACUACGUGCCAGCAGCCGCCGUAA